UCGCGUCACCCCCGAGCCUCGCGUCACCCCUCGCAGUGUCCCCCACGGCGCACCUGGGCCAGCCCCCCACACGACCCCCACCAGGAACGGAUGCGCGGGCCGGGCUCGGGUCCGAGACGCCGGGGACCCUGAGGGCCUGGCGCCCACAGUGCGUCACGGGCAGGGCAGACGCCGGGCACUUUUCCACCCCCGACCUCGGGAGGCCGUCACGCUCGUCCCGUCGGCCGCCUCUCUACACCCGCUGCGGUGAGUGCUUCUAAAAACGAAACCGCCACUUCUCGGCGCCGAGAGGCGUCCCACGACGCUGGCAUGUACGACAGGAAGCCCGGCUCUCGCGGGGCGCCUCUCCCGCGCGCCCAGCCCACCCUGAGGAUCUGGGCCUGACGCCCCGAAGGCGGCCUCCCGCGAGCCCCUUACCUCCCACCCGGGCGCUCGACAGCGGUCGGUGCGCACGGCGCAGGCGCGGGCGCGACAGGGCGGGGCGUCGCGUGGGGCCGGCCGGCUAGGCCCCGCCCCCACCGCCCUGCCCCAGCCUUGCGGGGUGUGGCCAGCGCGCAGGUGGGAACCCAGGCGGGCGAUAAUUUUUUUUCAAAAGUGGUCUUCAUUUCUGCAAUGGGGUAGUAAUGCUGGAACCAGAAGGCCUGUUCAAAAUGACCGAGCAAGCACCUGCCCUCACUGACCUCUACAGGUUAACACAUACUAAAGAGCAAUGCUGUUUGAGGAGCAGAGGAACUCUGGAAAACUCUGCUGUCUGAAAUGAAAGCAAGGCACUCUCCACUAACAGCUGGUGGAUUCCUGACUUCCGCC